UCCUACGGGAGGCAGCAGUGAGGAAUAUUGGUCAAUGGGCGAGAGCCUGAACCAGCCAAGUCGCGUGAAGGAUGACGGCCCUACGGGUUGUAAACUUCUUUUGUCAGGGAGCAAUUGGGUCCACGCGUGGGCUUAGCGAGAGUACCUGAAGAAAAAGCAUCGGCUAACUCCGUGCCAGCAGCCGCGGUAAUACGGAGGAUCCGAGCGUUAUCCGGAUUUAUUGGGUUUAAAGGGUGCGUAGGCGGUUUGAUAAGUUAGAGGUGAAAUGUCGGGGCUCAACCCCGAAACUGCCUCUAAUACUGUUG
rnacentral:rRNA from 1 species